rnacentral:tRNA from 1 species
GUCCCUAUAGCGCAGUGGAUAGCGCGUUGGAUUUCUAAUCCAAAGGUACCGGGUUUGUUCCCCGGCAGGGAUG